CCUACGGGGGGCAGCAGUGAGGAAUAUUGGUCAAUGGACGAGAGUCUGAACCAGCCAAGUAGCGUGAAGGAUGACUGCCCUAUGGGUUGUAAACUUCUUUUAUAUGGGAAUAAAAUGUUCCACGUGUGGGAUUUUGUAUGUACCAUAUGAACAAGGAUCGGCUAACUCCGUGCCAGCAGCCGCGGUAUUACGGAGGAUCCGAGCGUUAUCCGGAUUUAUUGGGUUUAAAGGGAGCGUAGGUGGAUUGUUAAGUCAGUUGUGAAAGUUUGCGGCUCAACCGUAAAAUUGCAGUUGAAACUGGCAGUCUUGAGUACAGUAGAGGUGGGCGGAAUUCGUGGUGUAGCGGUGAAAUGCUUAGAUAUCACGAAGAACUCCGAUUGCGAAGGCAGUUCACUGGACUGCAACUGACACUGAGGCUCGAAAGUGUGGGUAUCAAACAGGAUUAGAUACCCCAGUAGUC
rnacentral:rRNA from 1 species